rnacentral:rRNA from 1 species
GAUGAACGCUAGCGGCAGGCUUAAUACAUGCAAGUCGAGGGGCAGCACGGUUAGCAAUAACUGGUGGCGACCGGCGCACGGGUGCGUAACAUGUAUACAAUCUACCUUAAACAGGGGGAUAGCCUUUCGAAAGAGAGAUUAAUACCCCGUAAUAAAUUGAACGGCAUCGUUUGAUUUUUGAAAGCUCCGGCGGUUUGAGAUGAGUAUGCGUCUGAUUAGCUAGUUGGUGAGGUAACGGCUCACCAAGGCGACGAUCAGUAGGGGAUCUGAGAGGACUAACCCCCACACUGGUACUGAGACACGGACCAGACUCCUACGGGAGGCAGCAGUAAGGAAUAUUGGUCAAUGGAGGCAACUCUGAACCAGCCAUGCCGCGUGCAGGAUGACGGCCCUAUGGGUUGUAAACUGCUUUUAUACAAGAGAAAACCCUGGUACGUGUACCAGGUUGAUAGUAUUGUAAGAAUAAGCAUCGGCUAACUUCGUGCCAGCAGCCGCGGUAAU